GACGUAGGGGGCGAGCGUUGUCCGGAUUCACUGGGCGUAAAGCGCGCGUAGGCGGCUCGUUAAGUCGGAUGUGAAAACCCGGGGCUCAACCCCGGGCCUGCACCCGAUACUGGCGGGCUGGAGGAAGGUAGGGGAGAGUGGAAUUCCCGGUGUAGCGGUGAAAUGCGCAGAUAUCGGGAGGAACACCGGUGGCGAAGGCGGCUCUCUGGGCCUGUCCUGACGCUGAGGCGCGAAAGCUAGGGGAGCAAACAGG
rnacentral:rRNA from 1 species